rnacentral:RNase_P_RNA from 1 species
GACUGGCCAAUCGCGUUUUCCGAAAGGUAAUGAGGAAAGUCCGGGCUUCGCAGGGCAGGGUGCUGGAUAACGUCCAGGCUUUACAUUUGUAAAGACAGAUAGUGCAACAGAAAGUAUACCGCCGGUUUUCCGGUAAGGGUGAAAUAGUGCGGUAAGAGCGCACUAGUGGGCUGGUGACAGUUCACUCGGCAAACCUCACUCGAAGCAAGAUUAAACAGAGGAAGAAGCGGCCCGCUUCGUUAACUGCCUCGGGUAAAUCGCUAGAGGCUGGGAGUAAUCCUAGUCCAAGAUAGAUGAUUGGCACCUCUCAAAAAGAGGCACAGAACCCGGCUUAUAGGUCAUUC